rnacentral:rRNA from 1 species
GACGAACGCUGGCGGCGUGCCUAAUACAUGCAAGUCGAGCGGGUUUGUUCCUUCGGGGACAAGCUAGCGGCGGACGGGUGAGUAACACGUAGGUAACCUGCCCAUGGGACUGGGAUAACGUCAGGAAACCGAUGCUAAUACCGGAUAAUUGAUUUCCUUGCAUAAGGGACUCUGGAAAGACGGUUCUGAUUGAAAGAUUAGGGCUGUCAACGAUGGAUGGGCACGCGGCGCAUUAGGUAGUUGGUGAGGUAACGGCUCACCAAGGCGACGAUGCGUAGCCGACCUGAGAGGGUGUACGGCCACACUGGGACUGAGACACGGCCCAGACUCCUACGGGAGGCAGCAGUAGGGAAUCUUCGGCAAUGGGCGAAAGCCUGACCGAGCAACGCCGCGUGAGUGAUGAAGGCUUUCGGGUCGUAAAACUCUGUUGCCAGAGAAGAACGUCCAGGAGAGUAACUGCUCUUGGAGUGACGGUAUCUGAGAAGAAAGCCCCGGCUAACUACGUGCCAGCAGCCGCGGUAACAC